rnacentral:rRNA from 1 species
GAUGAACGCUGGCGGCGUGCCUAAUACAUGCAAGUCGAGCGGACAGAUGAGGAGCUUGCUCCUCUUACGUUAGCGGCGCACGGGUGAGUAACAUGUGUAUAACCUACCUAUAUGACUGGGAUAACUUCGGGAAACCGGUGCUUAUACCGGAUUAUCUACUGAACCGCAGGGUUCAAUAGUGAAAGACGGCUUUGCUGUCACUUAUAGAUGGUUCCGCGCCGCAUUAGCUAGUUGGUAAGGUAACGGCUUACCAAGGCAACGAUGCGUAGCCGACCUGAGAGGGUGAUCGGCCACACUGGAACUGAGACACGGUCCAGACUCCUACGGGAGGCAGCAGUAGGGAAUAUUCCGCAAUGGGCGAAAGCCUGACGGAGCAACGCCGCGUGUGUGAUGAAGGUCUUCGGAUCGUAAAACUCUGUUAUUAGGGAAGAACAAAUGUGUAAGUAACUAUGCACGUAUUGACGGUACCUAAUCAGAAAGCCACGGCUAACUACGUG